UUUUGGACAAUGGGCGCAAGCCUGAUCCAGCAAUGCCGCGUGCAGGAUGAAGGCCUUCGGGUUGUAAACUGCUUUUGUACGGAGCGAAAAAGCUUCCACUAAUACUGGGGGCUCAUGACGGUACCGUAAGAAUAAGCACCGGCUAACUACGUGCCAGCAGCCGCGGUAAUACGUAGGGUGCAAGCGUUAAUCGGAAUUACUGGGCGUAAAGCGUGCGCAGGCGGUUAUGUAAGACAGAUGUGAAAUCCCCGGGCUUAACCUGGGAACUGCAUUUGUGACUGCAUAGCUAGAGUACGGUAGAGGGGGAUGGAAUUCCGCGUGUAGCAGUGAAAUGCGUAGAUAUGCGGAGGAACACCGAUGGCGAAGGCAAUCCCCUGGACCUGUACUGACGCUCAUGCACGAAG
rnacentral:rRNA from 1 species